ACUGGCCCAAUGGCAAGGCGCUUGACUACGAAACACGAACCAAAACGUGUGCAAUCAAGAGAUUGCAGGUUCGAUCCCUGCGU
rnacentral:tRNA from 1 species